GCAUCAAAUUGCAUCAUUUUGGUUUUAGUUACAUUUAUUAUGAUAGAACAAAGAUUCAAGUUUUUUUAAAGUAUUUUUGGCUUUUUCUGGAAUAUUUUCAGAUACCUCAAUGACACAUGACAAGCCUGAUCACCCAUCAACACUUCACUACAAUCUUUACUCUCCUUGGAACAGUUACAACUGACAUACCAUGCAUACUCUUAUACAGAGUGCUAAAAAUAAAUAAAUAAAUAAACAAAAAAUAAAAAAAAGCUGUUGAAUAUUUUGAGAGGUAGUAGUACUCAUAAAAAAAAGGAAAAGUGUCUGGUAGGCCUAGAUAUGGGACCUUAAAUGCAUACCUUAAGAGCUAGAAGAACUUGUUCAUCUUCAAUAUUGUGAAACACAUCUCUUCUACUGCAAGCUCCUUGCUUUCCAUAUUUUUAGAAGUGAUAGUAUGGACAAAAACAAGGAAAAAAUGUCCAGUAAAAUAUGGGCUCAAAAGAGCAUACCUAAAGAGCCAUUAGCACUUGUUCAUCUUUGGUACUGUGAAUCUUCUAUUGAACAUAUUUGUUUCAGAGCUCAUGUUGACUCUACAUGUUUCUCUAUUACCGCCUCUGGAAAUGUUCAACACUUUUUUUUAACACCCAGUAUGCUUUGGUGUCAUCAUCAGACACUAAAGGCAAUGUCUGGGUAACAUAGCCUCCUUCUCUAUCCUUUGACAUCACUACCAUCUGGUUGUAGUUGCCACAGUCCAUUCCACCGGGACACUUCCUAAUGUGGAUGUUAUGGGCCUACUCCUUGACUUUUUUUUUUUACAGGAUUUUACCUUCUAAGAUGUUUUUCAUGAAGCUGCUGUGUUGAAUUAUGUGUCCAACUAAUUUAGUUUUCCUUUUACCAAGUUACUCAGUGUCCUUCUCUAUUUAAUUUACUUUUUGUAUUCAUUCACUAGAUUUUUCUUUCAUUCCAGGGGGUUUUUGUGGUUAAUCUCUAUCUCUGUUGCUUCUAACCUUUUUCUUUUCUUGUUUCUGCAGUGUAUAUCCCACAUAAUGGUAGCUUAAAAUGCUCUAGACCUUGUACAAAAAUUAAAUGGGCAAGCACCCAAGAAGCAUAUACCACAUAUACAAAUUUCUCCACUAAGGAUACAAGAGUUGCAAAUGAGAACCAUGUAAACAAAACAGAAGUACUUACUGAGCAGGUGAAUGUCAGCUCCCGUAAGUAGCUGAUAGAAAAUAUGGAAGUUUCGCUCUCCCAGGAGCAUGACUCGUGACGCGCGACUGCAAAGAAAGAAUGUAUUAAAAGACAGCUGGGAGAACGCAAGACCAAGUCAAGCACACAAGUGGCUGAUGGCCAGCUGUAAUGUGUUGAAUACCAUGGCUCCACAGAAAAGCAGCCCUGUUAUCUCCCAUCAGUGCCAAAGCAUCAGAAUAACUAUUAUUAAGACGAAUGCGUAAUAAUUUCUUGUUCUGUUGGAUCAUUUCAACAGUCAGUUAAUAAUGACUCACUGCCUGGUUAAUUUCAGUGUGAUUAAUAAAAAUAUUUUUGAUAAUAAA